UACGGGGGGUGCAAGCGUUGUUCGGAUUUACUGGGCGUAAAGGGCGCGUAGGCGGCCACUGCAAGUCAAUUGGGAAAUCUCCGGGCUCAACCCGGAACGGUCAACUGAUACUGCGGGGCUAGAGUGCAGAAGGGGCAACUGGAAUUCUCGGUGUAGCGGUGAAAUGCGUAGAGAUCAGGAGGAACACCCGUGGCGAAGGCGGCCCCCUGGGUCGGCCCUGACGCUGAGGCGCGAAAGCGUGGGGAGCGAACGGG
rnacentral:rRNA from 1 species